rnacentral:tRNA from 1 species
GAAAUAUAUAUAUAUAUUAUUGAGCUGCUAACUUAAUUUUUAGUGAUUAUAUCAUUAAUAUUUCU